rnacentral:rRNA from 1 species
GACGAACGCUGGCGGCGUGCUUAACACAUGCAAGUCGAGCGAUGAAAUUCCUUCGGGAAUGGAUUAGCGGCGGACGGGUGAGUAACACGUGGGUAACCUGCCUCAUAGAGGGGAAUAGCCUUCCGAAAGGAAGAUUAAUACCGCAUAAGAUUGUAGUAUCGCAUGAUACAGCAAUUAAAGGAGCAAUCCGCUAUGAGAUGGACCCGCGUCGCAUUAGCUAGUUGGUGAGGUAACGGCUCACCAAGGCGACGAUGCGUAGCCGACCUGAGAGGGUGAUCGGCCACAUUGGGACUGAGACACGGCCCAGACUCCUACGGGAGGCAGCAGUGGGGAAUAUUGCACAAUGGGGGAAACCCUGGUGCAGCAACGCCGCGUGAGUGAUGACGGUCUUCGGAUUGUAAAGCUCUGUCUUCAGGGACGAUAAUGACGGUACCUGAGGAGGAAGCCACGGCUAACUACGUGCCAGCCGCCGCCGUAAUAC